rnacentral:rRNA from 1 species
GGAAGUGGGGAUGAACGUCGAAGGUCCUCAUGGCCUUUAUGUCCACGGGCUACACGACGUGCUACAAUGGAUGGUACAAAGAGCAGCGACCUCGCGAGAGUGAGCAAAUCUCAAAAACCCAUCCUCAGUUCGGAUUGGAGUCUGCAACUCGACUCCAUGAAGUUGGAAUCGCUAGUAAUCGCGGAUCAGCAUGCCGCGGUCGAAUACGUUCCCGGGCCUU